rnacentral:rRNA from 1 species
CCACAUCAAGUUGAAACACCAGUUUCUGUACGAUCACCGAAUUUAAGCAACGUCGAGCCUGGUCAGUACCUGGAUGGGUGACCAUUUGAAAAUACCAGGCGCUGUAUG